CGCACUAGUCGGGGAGAUAGCGGUGCCCUGUUGCCUGCAAUCCGCUACAGCAGGGAUGAAUUCCCGCCCGAGGAGCGCGCCUGUGUUGUCUGCCCACUGUGAGCAGCGAUGAUGAGACGGUCUUGCGCAACGGAAACCCGCGAACCAUGUCAGGCGGGGAACCGAGCAGCAUUAAACGGGAGCUUCCGUGUGCCGCGAGGCAGCCGCCUUUGAGCCAGCUGCAUUGGUUCCGGAUAUAGGUUCGUUUUCAAUGGCGGGUGUGC
rnacentral:SRP_RNA from 1 species